rnacentral:rRNA from 1 species
GUGGGGAAUAACUGUGGGAAACUGCAGCUAAUGCCGCAUGCGCUCAGAAAUGAGGAAAGAUUUAUCGCUAGGAGAUAGGCCUAUAUCGGAUUAGGUAGUUGGUGGGGUAAUGGCCUACCAAGCCUGUGAUCUGUAGCUGGUCUGAGAGGACGGUCAGCCACACUGGGAUUGAGAUACGGCCCAGACUCCUACGGGAGGCAGCAGUGGGGAAUAUUGGACAAUGGGGGAAACCCUGAUCCAGCGAUGCCGCGUGAAUGAAGAAGGCCUUCGGGUUGUAAAGUUCUUUCGCUCGUGACGAUGAUGACGGUAGCGAGAUAAGAAGCUCCGGCUAACUCUGUGCCAGCAGCCGCGGUGAGACAGAGGGAGCUAGCGUUGUUCGGAAUGACUGGGCGUAAAGGGUGCGUAUGCGGUUGUUUAAGUGAGGUGUUAAAGUCCUGGGCUCAACCUAGGGGGUGCGCUUCAAACUGGGCAGCUAGAGUGUGGUAGAGGAAAGUGGAACUCCUAGUGUAGAGGUGAAAUUCGUAGAUAUUAGGAAGAACACCGGAGGCGAAGGCGGCUUUCUGGGCCAUUACUGACGCUGAGGCACGAAAGCGUGGGGAGCAAACAGGAUUAGAUACCCUGGUAGUCCACGCCCUAAACGAUGAGUGCUAGACGUCGGAUUUUUUUCGGUGUCGCAGCUAACGCGUUAAGCACUCCGCCUGAGGAGUACGGUCGCAAGAUUAAAACUUAAAGGAAUUGACGGGGGCCCGCACAAGCGGUGGGGCAUGUGGUUUAAUUCGAUGAUACGCGAAAAACCUUACCGGUUCUUGACAUGGAGGUCGAGGGUCCUGGAGACAGGAUCCGUCAGUUCGGCUGGACCUUACACAGGUGAUGCAUGGCUGUCGUCAGCUCGUGUCGUGAGAUGUUGGGUUAAGUCCCACAACGAGCGCAACCCCUGUCCUUAGUUGCUAACAGGUUAAGCUGAGAACUUUAAGGAGACUUCCGAUGAUAAGUCGGAGGAAGGCGGGGAUG